GACGUAGGGCGCGAGCGUUGUCCGGAUUUAUUGGGCGUAAAGAGCUCGUAGGCGGCUUGUCGCGUCGUCCGUGAAAACCAGGGGCUCAACCCCUGGCUUGCGGUCGAUACGGGCAGGCUAGAGUUCGGUAGGGGAGACUGGAAUUCCUGGUGUAGCGGUGAAAUGCGCAGAUAUCAGGAGGAACACCGAUGGCGAAGGCAGCUCGCUGGGACGUGACUGACGCUGAGACGCGAAAGCGUGGGGAGCAAACAGG
rnacentral:rRNA from 1 species